UUUAUAUGAGAGUUUGAUCCUGGCUCAGGAUGAACGCCGGCGGUGUGCCUAAUACAUGCAAGUCGAACGCGUUGGCCCAAUUGAUUGAUGGUGCUUGCACCUGAUUGAUUUUGGUCGCCAACGAGUGGCGGACGGGUGAGUAACACGUAGGUAACCUGCCCAGAAGCGGGGGACAACAUUUGGAAACAGAUGCUAAUACCGCAUAACAGCGUUGUUCGCAUGAACAACGCUUAAAAGAUGGCUUCUCGCUAUCACUUCUGGAUGGACCUGCGGUGCAUUAGCUUGUUGGUGGGGUAACGGCCUACCAAGGCGAUGAUGCAUAGCCGAGUUGAGAGACUGAUCGGCCACAAUGGGACUGAGACACGGCCCAUACUCCUACGGGAGGCAGCAGUAGGGAAUCUUCCACAAUGGGCGCAAGCCUGAUGGAGCAACACCGCGUGAGUGAAGAAGGGUUUCGGCUCGUAAAGCUCUGUUGUUAAAGAAGAACACGUAUGAGAGUAACUGUUCAUACGUUGACGGUAUUUAACCAGAAAGUCACGGCUAACUACGUGCCAGCAGCCGCGGUAAUACGUAGGUGGCAAGCGUUAUCCGGAUUUAUUGGGCGUAAAGAGAGUGCAGGCGGUUUUCUAAGUCUGAUGUGAAAGCCUUCGGCUUAACCGGAGAAGUGCAUCGGAAACUGGAUAACUUGAGUGCAGAAGAGGGUAGUGGAACUCCAUGUGUAGCGGUGGAAUGCGUAGAUAUAUGGAAGAACACCAGUGGCUAAGGCGGCUACCUGGUCUGCAACUGACGCUGAGACUCGAAAGCAUGGGUAGCGAACAGGAUUAGAUACCCUGGUAGUCCAUGCCGUAAACGAUGAGUGCUAGGUGUUGGAGGGUUUCCGCCCUUCAGUGCCGGAGCUAACGCAUUAAGCACUCCGCCUGGGGAGUACGACCGCAAGGUUGAAACUCAAAGGAAUUGACGGGGGCCCGCACAAGCGGUGGAGCAUGUGGUUUAAUUCGAAGCUACGCGAAGAACCUUACCAGGUCUUGACAUCUUGCGCCAACCCUAGAGAUAGGGCGUUUCCUUCGGGAACGCAAUGACAGGUGGUGCAUGGUCGUCGUCAGCUCGUGUCGUGAGAUGUUGGGUUAAGUCCCGCAACGAGCGCAACCCUUGUUACUAGUUGCCAGCAUUAAGUUGGGCACUCUAGUGAGACUGCCGGUGACAAACCGGAGGAAGGUGGGGACGACGUCAGAUCAUCAUGCCCCUUAUGACCUGGGCUACACACGUGCUACAAUGGACGGUACAACGAGUCGCGAACUCGCGAGGGCAAGCAAAUCUCUUAAAACCGUUCUCAGUUCGGACUGCAGGCUGCAACUCGCCUGCACGAAGUCGGAAUCGCUAGUAAUCGCGGAUCAGCAUGCCGCGGUGAAUACGUUCCCGGGCCUUGUACACACCGCCCGUCACACCAUGAGAGUUUGUAACACCCAAAGUCGGUGGGGUAACCUUUUAGGAGCCAGCCGCCUAAGGUGGGACAGAUGAUUAGGGUGAAGUCGUAACAAGGUAGCCGUAGGAGAACCUGCGGCUGGAUCACCUCCUUUCUA
rnacentral:rRNA from 2 species